AAAUAGAAAGGUCGUCGCGAACGCCCAAACCACUCUGUUCCCUUAUCCAUCCCCGACCUCCCUCACUCCUCAGGAUCUUGUCGAGACGAGCGGCAACCCACGAUCCCGAGCAAGUUGCCGGGUGUGGGGAUGGUGAGCGGCAUGGCUGGGCUCCAGCGACGGCCGACGACUCCUCCGCGCAUCCCCACCAUGGACGGUCCUCCAACGCUGCAUCCCCGCCAGGGACGGCCGUCCCCAAACUCCUCCGCCUGGGACCGUCAGGUAGGCGGGAUGGGCUCGAGGCACCGGUGGUGGCUGGAGGAGAUCCGGUGAUAGCGGCGGCGAGGGUGUGGCACUGGCUAUAGGGGGCGCUCCAUGCGGCAUCCUUCCCGAGAGCGUGGGGCUGCUGAGGCUCUUCGGCUGGUCCCGCCGCUCAUGGAUCCGCCGACGCCCGUCUCCGAGUCAUUGGUGUGGCAGCGGCGGGGACGGCGGGUCGCUGCCUGCUGACGGCGAUGGCGCGUGCCUCGACGACGGGCCGACGAGGACCCCGAGCAGCCGUGCCAUUCAAGCCCUCUUCGGCUGCUGCGACCGCCUCAUGGUCGCGGCGGCCGCCGCCCAGGUGCUCGCGCUUGUCGUCUACGUCCAGCUCUUCAGUGUGACCAUCAACUCGCUCAUGGUCACCUGCUAUCUGAAUCGUCAAGCAGGUGUGCGCUUUGUCUUCACUAGCGAAUAGUAGCUAUCUGCUAGUUCCGUUUUUUCAUUCGUGGCUGAUAUGUCAACAGAACGAGAGAUGAUGCUACUGAGAUUUUUGCCUAAGUCAUGCUUUAAGACUGAACGUGAGUGUUGUAUUUGCUCAGAGAAGAGAAGAUGAUCAUAUUGAGAAAUUUGACAUUUUUUUGGUUCUUGUAAUCAUCAUUGAUAGCACAUGGCAAAUUUAGAAAAAGUUCGGCUCA